CCCGAAGUAUCCUGAAUCUUUCGCAUUGUUAAUCAUACAAGUGCAUACAAUAAACACAAAAACCAAUGAUUAAUGUGCCAUCAUAUAAUUUCGAAAAAUUAACGCACUGUAUUUNNUAAAUCUAUCAGCACUUUAUCAAAUUUAUAACAUUUAUUUAAUGUUAAAGUGCGAACACAAUAAUUAAAAUAAACUAUAUGUUACAAUUUUUUGAUAAAUUUAAUUUAUGCUAAUAAAUUACAAUGUCCUUAUAUGGAAAAAAUGCACACUAUUACUAUAAUAUAUUUUAAAUAUUAUAGAACUAAUGAUGAAUUUUCCAUAACGGAUAUUCAGGUUCAUCGGGC
rnacentral:rRNA from 1 species